AAGAACUGCAAUCAAUAGUCCAUAAAGUAGUAGCAGCACCAGGAAUACAUGUUCUCUUGGUAUCACGUAUCCAUAGACUUGCUAAAAGAAUUAAUAUUUACAUUGUAAUCAAAAUAGAAUUUGAUAAUAACAAAAUCUAAUAAUAAUGUGAGUAAAUAUUUUGUCGUGGUUGUAGCUUGAGAAGCUAUGUAUUAAUUUUGGAAUCUU
rnacentral:lncRNA from 1 species